rnacentral:lncRNA from 1 species
CUCCAGCCUGGUGACAAGGCAAGACUCCAUCUCAAAAUAAUAAAAUAAAUAAAGUAAUUAUUAAAAAUACAAUUAAAAUGGAAAAUAAUGGUAAGGAAAACAAUAAAGGAGAUUACUCAAGGAAAAUGACAAGGGCUAGGGUCAUACCUCCGACAGAUCUCUCAUUUAAUGGUUGAAUCAAUGAGUCUUCAAGAGACGGAAAGGGGAUCCUAGGAUGGUAGAAAGAGAACCAAGGGAGUGUGUCAGCACAGAAUCUAAGGUAAGUGAUGGCUCCAGUGAAGAGGCAAGCAUCAUCAGUGCCUUGAGCUGCUAAGGGGCAAGAGAGUAAAGAAUUUAACAAUUGUUGGAUUUAGGGCAUGAAGGGUGUUGGUGAACUACUGUCUUUUUUGGUGGAGGGAUGUGGGCAGAAGCUAAUUGCAUGAACGUCAUUGCAAAUGGGAGGUGAGGAAACAGGAACAAGAGAACAGGCAGUGCAAACUGUUCUCACUGCGGCAGACGCCAUUCUUCCCACCAGCUUGGCUGUAGCAGGGAGAGAACAGCAGGACAGCAGUGGGAGAGAGAUGUGGCAUCCAGGGAGAUGUGCUUAUCGGCUUGCUUGCCUAUUUGCUGAAGACAGGAAUUUUGAGGAUGUUCACGAGAGAAGUCUAUUAAUCAUUCUGGAUGCAGAAAGGAAACCGCAUUCUCAGCAUAAACAUAAAUUAUCAGCCUAAAACUCAAAUUCCUUCAGAGGGAUGGGGCACGUCGAAAGUUUCAAAUAGCUCAAAUAGAACAAAUGGAUAAGAAGAGAUAAUGC